GAAACACACUUGAGGUUAGAUAAACACACACACAAAAUCAAGAACCUGAAUUUCGCAACACUCUCGACAUAAUCUGAUCAACAUGUUCUGUUUCGAAGCGGUCAGUGGUGCUUAAUUAACAACAUUACUCAACUACUAAAUUGAAAACAGCACACUGACUGCCUGAUGCCAACAUGGAUGUGGCCACAACACCACCACAACGGUCCGAUUUACACAGAAAUCCUGACUCUGAACAGGCUCCCUGAGAGUCCUAAAGACAGACGCAAUGCUGGUCUCCUUCCACGAACACAUCUGAAUAAGACCUUUGUAUGAAGAUGAAGACAUGCAGAACUUUUGAAAAACAUGCAGAAACGUCACAGCAUGACAGAGCCUGAUAAACACGGCGUUCGUCUCACAGCGGCUGCUGUUUUCGUCAUUCCUGACAGUGUGUGACCAUCACAGUUUGUUAUGUGGUUAGUCUGGCAUCUGGGUGAUUGAUAUUUGAUUUGGGAGAUUUGCUGAGCAGGUUUUCUGUGAGAUUACAGAUUUGCUUGCAGCUCAAUUCCUUAAAUUUGUUUAAAGGAUAUUAGUUGUGGAUAUGUGUUUAUGAAAGGCAGUUUGCUGUGACCUGCAUAUUCCUAAAGAAAACAUGAAAGCACAACUAGAUGUUACUGUGUUUCAAUGAAUGAAGAGAAACAUGUAAGCCAAUAAUAGCAUUCCAGGCUGUGGGCACCUUACACAAAUAGGAUAAAAAUCCCAUGUUCUUUAGAGAGAGAAUUUUGUAAACAUUUGGACAGGGAGGAUAUUUCUCUUCUGAAACAGUUUUGUGUUCCCUCACAUGAACCAUGGUUUAACUACAGUAACCAUAUAUUUACCAUUAGGAUUGUAGUAAAGCCAUAGAAAUAAUACAGGAAAACAAAAACGAUGGAAAUAAAAAAAUCUAAAUCAUUCUCCAAAAAAACACAGUUACACCAUGGUUAAUUUGGUAUAUAGUCUUACCACGAAUAUCAUGGUUAAAAUAUGCUUACUGUAAUAAAACCAUGGUACUUUUGUGGUUACUAUGGUUUUCCUAAAAAUACCAUAGUUCAACUGGAAGGGAACCCAAAUUUAUUUUGAGGAAAAACAAAACAUAUGGCGAGGGAAUCCACAAUAACUGCAAAGAAACGCAAAACGUAUUGUGAUGGAAAGCAAAAUAAUUGCAAAGAGAACCAAAUAAUAAUUUAGAAGGAACCCAAAAUAAUUGUGCAGUAACACAAAAAGUAUUGCAAAGAAACCCAAAAUAAUUGCAAAGGAGCGCAAAACUUAUUUAGAGGGAAUGCAAAACAUUUUGCGAAGUAACCCAAAAUAAUUGUGAAGGAAUGUAAAACGUUUUGCGAGGGAAUGCAAAAUAGUUGCAAAGGAACAGAGGGAAUGUAAAACGUUUCCGAAGUAACCCAAAAUAAUUGUGAGGGAAUGUAAAACGUUUCCGAAGUAACCCAAAAUAAUUGUGAGGGAAUGUAAAACGUAUUGCGAGGGAACACAAAAUAAUUGUGAGGGAAUGUAAAACGUAUUGCGAGGGAACACAAAAUAAUUGUGAGGGAAUGCAAAAUAGUUGCAAAGGAACAGAGGGAAUGUAAAACGUUUCCGAAGUAACCCAAAAUAAUUGUGAAGGAAUGUAAAACGUUUCCGAAGUAACCCAGAAUAAUUGUGAAGGAAUGUAAAACGUUUCCGAAGUAACCCAGAAUAAUUGUGAAGGAAUGUAAAACGUUUCCGAAGUAACCCAAAAUAAUUGUGAGGGAAUGUAAAACGUUUCCGAAGUAACCCAAAAUAAUUGUGAGGGAAUGUAAAACGUUUCCGAAGUAACCCAAAAUAAUUGUGAGGGAAUGUAAAACGUUUCCGAAGGAACACAAAAUAAUUGUGAGGGAAUGUAAAACGUAUUGCGAGGAACACAAAAUAAUUGUGAGGGAAUGUAAAACGUAUUGCGAGGGAACACAAAAUAAUUGUGAGGGAAUGUAAAACGUAUUGCGAGGGAACACAAAAUAAUUGUGAGGGAAUGUAAAACGUAUUGCGAGGGAACACAAAAUAAUUGUGAGGGAAUGCAAAAUAGUUGCAAAGGAACAGAGGGAAUGUAAAACGUUUCCGAAGGAACACAAAAUAAUUGUGAGGGAAUGUAAAACGAAUUGCGAGGGAACACAAAAUAAUUGUGAGGGAAUGUAAAACGUUUCCGAAGUAACACAAAAUAAUUGUGAGGGAAUGUAAAACGUAUUGCGAGGGAACACAAAAUAAUUGUGAGGGAAUGUAAAACGAAUUGCGAGGGAACACAAAAUAAUUGUGAGGGAAUGUAAAACGAAUUGCGAGGGAACACAAAAUAAUUGUGAGGGAAUGUAAAACGUUUCCGAAGGAACACAAAAUAAUUGUGAGGGAAUGUAAAACGUUUCCGAAGUAACCCAAAAUAAUUGUGAGGGAAUGUAAAACGUUUCCGAUGUAACACAAAAUAAUUGUGAGGGAAUGCAAAAUAGUUGCAAAGGAACAGAGGGAAUGUAAAACGUUUCCGAAGUAACCCAGAAUAAUUGUGAGGGAAUGUAAAAAGUUUCCGAAGUAACACAAAAUAAUUGUGAGGGAAUGUAAAACGAAUUGCGAGGGAACACAAAAUAAUUGUGAGGAAAUGCAAAAUAAUUUUUAGGAAAUGCAAAACAUAUUUUGUAGGGCUGCCCCCAACCAAAGAUUUUCCUAAUUGACUAGUAGUUGUUAAUUUAAGCCAUUAGUCGACUAGUCGCACGUUUAUGAUAUAAAUCUAAUUACUUAAAUAUAUAUUUUUAGGGGGGGCAUCAGAAGAGUUCCAGUGCUGAGAAAGAAUGUUAUAAGUAACAUUGCUAACACAGUUGUACAUUACAAAGAAAUACUAAACCGUAAUAAUGACCCUUUAAAAUAUACAUUUUACAAGCGCACGCACAAAGUGAGCUGCAGUGACACCGGCAAAAGCGGGAAUGAUCCUGAAUGUGUCGGAAAAACAUUUAGUUAAUUUUUAGAGAGAAAUGCACAUUAGGGUUGUGCCGACAGACGAUGAUCUCGGGGAUCGAUGAUGGUCAGAGUGAUCAAUAACCGAUGUCUCUGAUGAUGUCAAGAUGAUAUUUGGCUCAUUUUCCCAUGUAUUAAAUUAUUAUUAUUAGGCUAUUAUUAUUAUCAAAUUAAUAUUAGACCGUAGACACACAGACACGCGCUUUAAGAAACACACUUUAUUAUAUUAUUAAAAACAGAUGACAGAAAAGCCGUCUAUGUGCAUGUAUGACGCGCUGAUACGGAGUUGUGCAGUCUCGUGGAACACACGCAUGUAAAAGAUUCUCACUCUUUCUUUCAGUCUUCUGUUUUGUUUUUUUUUUUGCAAGAACAGUAUCAUCUAUGAGUGCUGUAAAUGACCUCGGACAUCUCAGAUCAGGAGGUGCUUUGAGUUCAGUUCACUUUAUUACCACAGAACAGUUCAUUGUGAACGCAACUCUGCAGCCUGUAAAAUAAUACAAAAACACAUUCACCCCGAACCGUGAUUAUUAUCAUCAUUUUAAUUAUUAUUUUUACAUUUAGAAUUGUUUUUAUGUCUUCAUUUGUGUAAGUAAUUUUCCGCCUGCAUGUUUAGACGUUGACUUGUCUGACGGUAAAUGGAAAGGUGAUAUAUAUAUAUAUAUAUCACUUCAUUAUUUUAAUUGCUUUUUCGUUUCAUUUGCAGUGCAAUUUUAAUUUAGAAAUGUAUUUGAUUUAAGUUUUUCGUUUUUUAAAUAAAUUUAAUUUUCAAUGCAAAAAUCACUAAAGCAAGAAUAUUCACCGAUCCUUCAGCCCGGGGGUUGCCGAUGUAAUUGGAUAUUGCGAUAUAUAUGUAUUAGGGGUGUAACGGUACACAGAAGUCACGGUUCGAUGCAUACCUCGGUUUUGGGGUCACGGUUCAAUACGAGUUCGGUACAACAGGAAAAAGCAACAAAUCCCAAAUGCUAGGUUUCUUUUCAUUUAUUUUGAACAGACAGUAGUGCAAAUUACAGUUUGUUCCACCUAGCGGCAUUUAGUCCCCCCUGAGGUAGUUGGUACAGUACAGCCUCCUUUAGUGUAUUAAGCACUAAGCAGAAUGCACUCUUGCAUAGGCCAUAUUUUUUGUAGGGUUGAUAAAAAACAAAAGGUAUUUGGUCACAAUCAGCUACAAAACUGAAAAGCAUCUCUUGUUUUAUAAAAGUACAAAAUAAAUAGAACAAUGAAAAAUAAAACUUGUGCAUUAGGAGAAGCCAUUCUUGUUUUGGGUUGGUGCAUAGAUGGUCUCUUCUUCUGCUGUUUUUCCUGUUGUGGCGGUUAGCAAACAGCGUCGCAUUACCGCAUGCGCCCCCUUCUGGAUUGGAGUGUGGAUCGCCUGUGACUGACUCAGAUGUAUUCUUCAUCUGACUGCAUGUACAGAACCGUGACGGUUAAGGGCGAAUACAUGUACCGUUACAGCCCUAAUAUAUAUAUAUAUAUAUAUAUAUAUAU